CCUACGGGAGGCUGCAGUGGGGAAUAUUGCACAAUGGGGGAAACCCUGAUGCAGCGACGCCGCGUGAGUGAAGAAGUAUCUCGGUACGUAAAGCUCUAUCAGCCGGGAAGAAAAUGACGGUACCUGACUAAGAAGCCCCGGCUAACUACGUGCCAGCAGCCGCGGUACUAAGUAGGGGGCAAGCGUUAUCCGGAUUUACUGGGGGUAAAGGGAGGGUAGACGGCAGCACAAGUCCGGAGUGAAAUCCCGGGGGUUAACCCCGGAACUGCUUUGGAAACUGUGCGGCUGGAGUGCAGGAGGGGUAAGCGGAAUGCGUGGUGUAGCGGUGAAAUGCGUAGAUAUUAGGAGGAACACCGGUGGCGAAGGCGGUCUGCUGGACAGCAACUGACGCUGAGGCGCGAAAGCGUGGGGAGCAAACAGGAUUAGAUACCCUGGUAGUC
rnacentral:rRNA from 1 species